UUUCCCAAUGGUAUGUCCCACUUUAAUCUAUAAAGUAAAGGGAGACUAUACCUGAAAUGGAAUUUAAAUGUUUUUUUCUAGGACCAAAGCAUAUCCUAAGAGACACUUCAGUCGAUUUCAGGAGUUUGAGCCUAAAGGAGUGCUUUCUUCAAGGAUUUUAUUAGAAAUGCUAUUUCAACCUUGAAUCAUGACCUUCCAAGGAAGAUGAAUACUUUUGUCUCCUUCCUCCUCCUUUCUCCUUCUGCCAAUUGGAACGUGGAUAUAGUGGUGAUUACCAUGGAUGAAAGCAAGAGCUAAGGAUGGCAGAGCAAUAAGAUAGAGGAAGUCUUGUUCCUGACACUGUCGAGCCUUCAUAUCAGCCCUGGGAUUCUUCAAUCUAGUUUGUUACAUCAGAGAGAGGUAAAGUUCCACCAUGUUUAAAUAAGUUUUAUUUUGCCUUUAGUCCAACAACUGAAUCUAAACUCUAAUUUUGAUUGGUCCAUCAAGUCUUCUUCAGUGAUAUCAUUUUGUAUUCUGCCAUUCCUAAAGUAGUGGCAACGAGAUAGGAUGAAUCCCCUUCUUUGGAAACAAAUAAUUUGAAUAAUUUCAAGGAAUAUUUUUGAUCAGUUGGUUUAAUUUAAAUAACUAUUUAUUAUGAAGUUGGGGAUAAACCUAUGAUCAACAAAAAUAUUAUUUUAUCAGCAGAGACAAUCAACUAGUUUGAAUGAGAACCAACUAUUGUUACACUAGGUCACAAGGGGUACAGGUUACUUCAUGUUUAUAAAAGGCUCUGAGCGUCAAAUACAUAAAAACACAAGGUAUCUUAAUGCAUGUACUUUGUGACAAAGGUUGUAAAAUCAAAGAUGACUAUAGCAAUUAUGCAGAAAAAAUUCAUCUA
rnacentral:lncRNA from 1 species